rnacentral:rRNA from 1 species
AUACGGAGGGUGCAAGCGUUAUUCGGAAUCACUGGGCGUAAAGGACGCGUAGGCGGGUUGGCAAGUCAGAUGUGAAAUCCUACGGCUUAACUGUAGAACUGCAUUUGAAACUGCUAACCUAGAGUAUGGGAGGGGGAGAUGGAAUUAGUGGUGUAGGGGUAAAAUCCGUAGAUAUCACUAGGAAUACCGAAAGCGAAGGCGAUCUCCUGGAACAUAACUGACGCUAAGGCGUGAAAGCGUGGGGAGCAAACAGGAUUAGAAAACCCAGUAGUCC